rnacentral:tRNA from 1 species
GGGGAUUUAGCUCAGUGGCAUAAGCACCUGCCUUGCAAGCAGGCAGUCAUGAGUUCGAUUCUGUUACCG